CAUUACACAAAUAUGAAGGCGGGCUGGAACCUCUCGGGGUUACAGCCUUGCUGAAUUAUUCACCCUUGUCUUUUGCGUACUUCUUGUUUCCUUGGUGGGUUCGCCCACCACUAGGACAAACAUAAACCUUUUGUAAUUGCAAUCAGCGUCAGUAACAAAUUAAUAAUUACAACUUUCAACAACGGAUCUCUUGGUUCUGGCAUCGAUGAAGAACGCAGCGAAAUGCGAUAAGUAGUGUGAAUUGCAGAAUUCAGUGAAUCAUCGAAUCUUUGAACGCACAUUGCGCCCUUUGGUAUUCCAAAGGGCAUGCCUGUUCGAGCGUCAUUUGUACCCUCAAGCUUUGCUUGGUGUUGGGCGUCUUGUCUCUAGCUUUGCUGGAGACUCGCCUUAAAGUAAUUGGCAGCCGGCCUACUGGUUUCGGAGCGCAGCACAAGUCGCACUCUCUAUCAGCAAAGGUCUAGCAUCCAUUAAGCCUUUUUUUCAACUUUUGACCUCGGAUCAGGUAGGGAUACCCGCUGAACUUAAGCAUAUCAAUAAGCGGAGGAAAAGAAACCAACAGGGAUUGCCCUAGUAACGGCGAGUGAAGCGGCAACAGCUCAAAUUUGAAAUCUGGCUCUUUUAGAGUCCGAGUUGUAAUUUGCAGAGGGCGCUUUGGCUUUGGCAGCGGUCCAAGUUCCUUGGAACAGGACGUCACAGAGGGUGAGAAUCCCGUACGUGGUCGCUGGCUAUUGCCGUGUAAAGCCCCUUCGACGAGUCGAGUUGUUUGGGAAUGCAGCUCUAAAUGGGAGGUACAUUUCUUCUAAAGCUAAAUAUUGGCCAGAGACCGAUAGCGCACAAGUAGAGUGAUCGAAAGAUGAAAAGCACUUUGGAAAGAGAGUCAAACAGCACGUGAAAUUGUUGAAAGGGAAGCGCUUGCAGCCAGACUUGCUUACAGUUGCUCAUCCGGGUUUCUACCCGGUGCACUCUUCUGUAGGCAGGCCAGCAUCAGUUUGGGCGGUAGGAUAAAGGUCUCUGUCACGUACCUCCUUUCGGGGAGGCCUUAUAGGGGAGACGACAUACUACCAGCCUGGACUGAGGUCCGCGCAUCUGCUAGGAUGCUG
rnacentral:rRNA from 1 species